rnacentral:rRNA from 1 species
CUCCCUGAGACUUUAAGUCUCCUGAAGGAACGUUGAAGACGACGACGUUGAUAGGCCGGGUGUGUAAGCGCAGCGAUGCGUUGAGCUAACCGGUACUAAUGAACCGUGAGGCUUAACCUU